rnacentral:rRNA from 1 species
GCCAGCAGCCAUAUCAUCCUGCAACUCACCAUUAGCAACCCACUGAAGCUCAGCAGGUGUGGGCCUGGGCAGUACCUACUGUAGAUGGGAGACCUCCUGGGAAAAGCUAAGGUUGCUGCUGGAA